CAUUGAAACGCAAGUUCUCGUCCGAUUACCGAAGUUAAGUAACGUUGAGCCUGAUUCAGUACUCAGGUGGGUGACCGCUGGAGAAUACCGAGUGCUGUAAG